rnacentral:tRNA from 1 species
GGCCUGAUGGCGGAGUGGCGACGCGACGGGGGUGCAACCCCGUAAACCCUCCGUUCGACUCGGAGGUCAGGCCUCCA